AUGAAUCUCUUAGCCUGGAACUGUUGAGGCUUAGGGUUGGACUCGACGGUUGGCGAAUUACGAGACCUGAUACGGUCCUACAACCCAGAGGUGGUUUUUCUUAGUGAGACUAAAAAGUCCGCGAGGGCUAUGGAGAAGUUGAUGUGGAGCUUGGGGUUCCAGAGUGGUGUAGUGGUGGAUUGUAAGGGAAGGAGUGGAGGUCUUGCAUUAUGGUGGAGAGAGCAUAUUCUUGUUAAGGUGCGGCCAUGGUGCCAAUAUUUUAUGGAUGCGGAAAUUGCAUUUGAGGGUAAGACCUGCAGAAUCACUGGAUUCUACGGGGAACCCGAACGGAAUUGCGGAAAAAAUCUUAGGAUGCUAUCUUAG
rnacentral:rRNA from 1 species